rnacentral:rRNA from 1 species
GAUGAACGCUGGCGGCGUGCUUAACACAUGCAAGUCGAACGGAAACGCCCUGCUUUUGUUGGGUGCUCGAGUGGCGAACGGGUGAGUAAUACGUGAGUAACCUGCCCUUGACUUUGGAAUAACUUCCGGAAACCGGUGUUAAUACCCGAUAGAAGCUCCUGUUGCAUGGUGGGGGCUGGAGAGUUUGUGCGGUUGGGGAUGGACUCGCGGGUUAUCAGCCUGGUUGUGGGGGAGGGGCUGACCGAGGCGUCUGGAGGUCGAGGGCCUGUGAGAGUGACAGGCGACACUGGGACUGAGAUACGGCCCCGAGUCCUACGGGAGGGAGGAGUGGGGAAUAUUGCACAAUGGGCGGCAGCGUGAUGCAGAAACGCCGCGUGCGGGAUAGCGGCGUUCGGGUGGUAAAAAGCUUUCGCCUGAGACGAGGCGGGAGUGACGGUAAUGGGUAAAGAAGCACCGGCUAACUACGUG